rnacentral:rRNA from 1 species
AGUAGCGGUGAAAUGCGUAGAUAUCUGGAGGAAUACCAAAGGCGAAGGCAGUCCCCUGGUCCGAUACUGACACUGAGGUACGAAAGCGUGGGGAGCAAACAGGAUUAGAUACCCUGGUAGUCCACGCCCUAAACGAUGUCGAUUAGCCAUUGGAAGGACCCCUUUUCCUUUCAGUGACGUAGCUAACGCGUUAAAUCGACCGCCUGGGAAGUACGACCGCAAGGUUAAAACUCAAAGGAAUUGACGGGGACCUGAACAAGCGGUGAAUGAUGUGGAUUAAUUCGAUGCUACGCAAAGAACCUUACCUACCUUUGACAUGGCCAAAGUUCUACCGAGAGGCGGAAGUACCCGUAAGAGGAUUGGCGCACAGGUGCUGCAUGGUUGUCGUCAGUUCGUGUCGUGAGAUGUUGGGUUCAGUCCCGCAACGAACGCAACCCUUAUCUUUAAUUGCUCCUAUUUUAACAGGCACUUUAAAGAAACUGCCAAUGAUAAGUUGGAGGAAGGUGGGGAUCACGUCAAGUCCGCAUGGCCUUUAUAGGUAGGGCUUCACACGUCAUACAAUGGUUAGAACAAAGAGCUGCAAAUUCGUAAGAAGGAGCCAAUCUCACAAACCUAACCUCAGUUCGAAUUGCGGUCUGCAACUCGAGCGCAUGAAGCCGGAAUCGCUAGUAAUCGUGGAUCAGAAUGCCA